rnacentral:rRNA from 1 species
CCUACGGGAGGCAGCAGUGGGGAAUAUUUCACAAUGGGCGAAAGCCUGAUGCAGCGACGCCGCGUGAGCGAAGAAGGCCUUCGGGUCGUAAAGCUCUGUCCUAUGGGCAGAAGAAUGACGGUACCAUAGGAGGAAGCCCCCGCUAACUACGUGCCAGCAGCCGCGGUAAUACGUAGGGGGCGAGCGUUGUCCGGAAUGACUGGGCGUAAAGGGUAUGUAGGCGGCUAGAUAAGUCAGAUGUGAAAGGCAUAGGCUUAACCUGUGUAAGCAUUUGAAACUGUCUAGCUUGAGUCAAGGAGAGGAAAGUGGAAUUCCUGGUGUCGCGGUGAAAUGCGUAGAUAUCAGGAGGAAUACCAGUGGCGAAGGCGACUUUCUGGACUUAGGCUGACGCUGAGGUACGAAAGCGCGGAGAGCAAACAGGAGUAGAUACCCGAGUAGUC